rnacentral:rRNA from 1 species
UACGAAGGGGGCUAGCGUUGCUCGGAAUCACUGGGCGUAAAGCGCACGUAGGUGGGUCGCUAAGUCGGGGGUGAAAUCCUGGAGCUCAACUCCAGAACUGCCUUCGAUACUGGCGAUCUUUGAGUCCGGGAGAGGUGGGUGGAACUGCGAGUGUAGAGGUGAAAUUCGUAGAUAUUCGCAAGAACACCAGUGGCGAAGGCGGCUCACUGGCCCGGUACUGACGCUGAGGUGCGAAAGCGUGGGGAGCAAACAGG